UACGUAGGUGGCAAGCGUUGUCCGGAUUUAUUGGGUUUAAAGGGUGCGUAGGCGGUCUUUUAAGUCAGUGCUGAAAUACUCCAGCUUAACUGGAGGGGUGGCAUUGAUACUGGAAGACUUGAGUGCAGUCGAAGUAGGCGGAAUUGACGGUGUAGCGGUGAAAUGCGCAGAUAUCAGGAGGAACACCGGUGGCGAAGGCGGGUCUCUGGGCCGAUACUGACGCUGAGGAGCGAAAGCGUGGGGAGCGAACAGG
rnacentral:rRNA from 1 species